CCUACGGGAGGCAGCAGUGAGGAAUAUUGGUCAAUGGGCUUACGCCUGAACCAGCCAAGUCGCGUGAGGGAAGACUGCCCUAUGGGUUGUAAACCUCUUUUGUCAGGGAGCAACGCCGGCUACGUGUAGCCGGACUGAGAGUACCUGAAGAAAAAGCAUCGGCUAACUCCGUGCCAGCAGCCGCGGUAAUACGGAGGAUGCGAGCGUUAUCCGGAUUGAUUGGGUUUAAAGGGUGCGUGGGCGGAAUGCCAAGUCAGCGGUAAAAUCGCGGGGCUCAACCUCGCUCCGCCGUUGAAACUGGCGUUCUUGAGUGGGCGAGAAGUAUGCGGAAUGCGUGGUGUAGCGGUGAAAUGCAUAGAUAUCACGCAGAACUCCGAUUGCGAAGGCAGCAUACCGGCGCCCAACUGACGCUGAAGCACGAAAGCGUGGGUAUCGAACAGGAUUAGAUACCCGGGUAGUC
rnacentral:rRNA from 1 species